rnacentral:rRNA from 1 species
UUCGCCUGUGUUUUCAAAAACAUAGCCUUAUGAAUUAAUAUAAGGUAAAGCCCUGCCCAGUGAUAAGUUCAACGGCCGCAGUACCCUGACUGUGCUAAGGUAGCGUAAUCAGUUGGCUUUUAAAUGGAGUCGAGAAUGAAUGGGACCAUGGGGAUGGGCUGUUUCUAUCCUGAUAGUUUGAAUUUUAUUAGGAGGUGAAAAUCCCUCUGGAGAGAAAAAAGACGAGAAGACCCUUAGAAUCUAAGCCAGCGCUAAGUAACCUACUUGGUGAGCUUUUGUUGGGGCGACAAUGGAGCAAAGCUUAAACCUCCGUUCUUAUGACUUACAUGCCGAAUUUUAUAAGAAGGGAAAGAUUACCUUAGGGAUAACAGCAUAAUUUAAUAAAGUUUGUGACCUCGAUGUUGGACUAGGGACUUUACGACUAGCCGUCGGAUUGGCUGGUUCUGUUCGAACUUUUUACCCCUACAUGAUCUGAGUUCAGACCGGAGA